rnacentral:lncRNA from 1 species
UCGGCAACGACGAGAGCAUCGCAGAUCUUCCUGGGCGAUUCGGCGCGGCGAACGACUGAGCGGCCAGGACAUGGAGGGCAGCUCACCGGAGAGCCGAGGUCGACUGGGGGGCGGGGCUGGCCGCCGCCAUGGCCACGGCUAGGGGUUGUAGCCGGCCGGACGCCGUGCGCAGAGGCCCGGCCCUGCCUUGCCGUGUCCACGGGAGUGGUUGCUGAACGAGACGAGGGAGAAGAGAGCGGUAUGGAGAAUAGAAUUAUGCGAGCGACACGCGAGUUGAGCGACAAUUUCGUUCUGGUCACGCCCACGUUGUGGGUAUGAGCCAAGAGCCCAGAUGACCGAGUGAAGCAGGAGGCGGUUGGGGGAAGAUGCCAAUGACAGGCGGGCUGCUGGGGGGGUUUCUUGUGCAGCUGAUGCGCAGAGGACCAGGGCGAGCGCCUCGGCGCGCACGUACAGUAGAGUGGGUCGUGCUUGGGAAAAGGUGAAGAGAGGAGUUUUAUUUUCUCUUUAUUUAUAUAUAAAUAUGUUUGGUUAUUUUAGACCAUGCUCAAAUAGUUUAAAUUCUAUAGUUUUUCCUUCUUCAAAACAUAAACACAAUGCCAAGAUUAUUUUUUUAGCAAACAAAAAUUGUGCUUCGGCAUGAAUGCAACAGUCAAAGCUUCUUUAGGGCAUUAUUUUACUAAGAUUAAAACGUAUAUAUAACAAAAUAAUUCUCCAUUUUUUUAGGAAAAAGGGAAGGAAAGCGAGGAACUGAGACGGUGACACCUGAAUUUGGUGGAUAUUAAAAAAGAAAUUUUAUACCCCCAAAUUCAGGGUGUUACAAAUCUAACCCCCUUAACAGGAAUCUCGCCCUCGAGAUUCAAGAAGAGGCUAGCACAAAAAUGAGAUUGGUUUAUUGGUUGUUCACGGCUUUCUUGAGUUGACUUUGACUCUGGCAACUUUAACUUGUGGACUGGUUGCUUUAACCUUGAGAUGCUUGAGGCCGAUUGAUGCAAUACUUGAGGAUCUCUUGGACCUAUGGGUUAGGACCCACACACGCUUUCGCCGCACCACUUUGAUCUUGUCGGUUGACGUUGAUCACAUUGUCUUCAUUGGGGUUAGCGACUAACCCCCUUAACAGGAGCGUUGAUACGCACUUGGUGCAGAUGCCGCCGACUCUUAUCUUGACUGAUUGGGAGAGGUUGGAGGAUGCCAACCGGACAGGUGCAAAAGGGAAGAGUAUAGAUAGAAAAGGUAAGAUAGAAAAGGUAAGCAUAGAUGGCUUAAAGGGAGAGAAGGGAGAGCACCUAGCUACUUAAUCCACGGCACUCCGCUAGUAAACUGAUGUCAAUGCGGACCAACGACCACAAUACAUCAACACCCAUCACAAAGAGGCAAAUCAGUCAUAACACAAAGACAAACAACACAAGCAUACAACAACAAACAUCUCGUUGCUAUACGUUAAUGUUAACUAGAUGGUGGUCUUUCCUUACCAAGGGGAAACUGCUCUAAGGCCAUCGAAAGACAAGGGGCAAGAUAAGACAUGUAGGGUACGGGCAUGAGCAUAAUAAAGGAUGAAGCUGAAGUAAGGAUUGUAACCGGCAAGGGAGAGAAUGCAUCCAAGGUCAGGAUAGGUAAAACACCAUUCUCAAAUCGAGAUGGGAAGGAUGAUAUUUCAAAAGGUAGGCAUAAGAUAAGUAUCAUGGAAUGAUAUAGAGAUUACAAAGGUAAGGGAGAUGAAAGGCAAAAGCACACCAAAAGAUAGAGUUAGGACAAGACUUGCAACGCGACAGAGGAAAAGGAAACGAACAAGAGUGGGAUAGGUAAGGCAUCACUAUUGAAAUGAAAUGGGAGAGGAGGCUUUAAAAUGCAGGUGCAAGAUAAGCAUCAUGGUAAAGAUCGAGGGAUGACAAGGGUUAAGGUGAUAACGGGCAAUCACACAACAAAGGAUGUAUUUGAGGAAAAUCUUGCAAGGUGUUAGAGAAGGGGGAGCAGUUAAUGAUGAGAUAGAUGAGGCAUUAUCCCCGAACAUGGAUGGAAAAGAGGAGGCUUCAAAAGGUAGGUUCAAGGUAGGCAGGAAGACAAGGGCAUAAGUAUCACAAGGGUUUUAAAGGUGAUAACGGACAAGGAUAUAGGAAAGAAGGUAAAUCAGCAUAAGAACAACGGAUAUAAGUACCAUAAGGAUGGAGUUAAGACAGAACCUGUAAAUGAAAAAGGAGAAGGUGUGUCCAAGGGCCAGAUAGGUAAACUGCCACUCUCAAAUUGAGGUGGAAGAGAGGAGAUUUUUAAGGAGCAAGCAUAAAGAUAAGUAUGAAGGUAAGAUCGAUGGAUGGCGAGGAAAUGGUGAUAGCAAAUAAAAACACAACAGAGGAUGGAAUUAGACAAGACUUGUAAGGCGACAUGGAGGGAAAGGAAAUCAAGGGAGAGAUAGGUAACUCGCAACCCUCAAACUGGGUUGAAAGAAAGGGGAGGCUUUUAAAGGAUAAGUUCAAGGUGAGCAUUUAGGUAGAAGACAUAAAUAUCGCAAGGGUCAAAUGCGAUAAUAAACAAGGGCAUAAGGGAAAAGAUGAAGGCACAGAAGAGCCAGUGGUAUAAGUACAACAAAGAAUGGAGUUACAUCAAGGCUUACACGCGGUAAAGAAGAGGAUGUUGCCAAGGGUGAGGUAAGUAAAACACCGCUCCCAAAUUGGGAUGGGAGAUUGGAGAUUUUAAAUAACAGACAUAACAUAAUCACAAGGUAGGAUAGAGUGCUGAGAAGGGUAAAGGAAAUAACAAACAAAAACACAACAAAUGAUAGAGUUAAAAACUCGCAGGUGACAAAGAAGAGGACACGACCAAGGGAAAAGUAGGCAAAGUACAACGCUCAGAUCAAGAUGGAAAAGAAGAGGUUUUAAAGGGCGGGUAUAAGAUAAACAUCAAAGUAAGAUAUAGAGAUGAUAAGGGUAAAGGUGAUGAUGAUGAAAAGCAUAGUCCAUGGACAGAGUUAAGGCAAGACUUACAAAGUCACGAAGUGGAGUGGAGAAAACAAUCAAGGAUAAGAUAAGUAAGGUUCCAACAGAAGAGUUGAAAUAGAUAUUCAUAACCGAAAGAAGUUACAAGGAAUUAGCAAGAUCACCAAGUAUGUGCAAAAUAAGAUGACCGCUCAUGGAUCAUUAGGAAACAAGGGUGGUCAUGGAUAUGUUAACUAAAAUGUCUUGAACAGACAUUGGGGUAUGAAAAUAAGUGUACAUAAGAAUAUAAGAGCAUGCAAGAUUCCAAGGAUACGAGCAUACCAAGACAAGGGAAUGGAAUAAGGCAAAGGAUAAAGACUUAACAUUAGAAUAGUAAGGGAUCUCAGAAGACCAGAAGUUCAUGGACAUAUAAACUGGAAUGUUUAAAUAGAUAACAGAGUUUUUUAGGCAAGUAUUUAAAGCAAGAGUAUUAAAGAAUCUAGGGGUACGAGCAUGUCAAUAUCAAGGGAAUAAAGAUAGUCAAGGGGUAGCAAAUUAAUGACGGAAGAAGAAAGAACCCCAACAGACAAAAAGGUUGUGGUCAGGGGGCAUCUAUAAAGAUGUCGCAAGCACAAGAGUGAGAUCAGAUCUAAUAGAUUGAGAGAAGUAUAGAUCAUACUAGAAUAAAACACUUUUUGGCAAGGGGCAUAUAGGAGCACAACAUAGAAUUAGUCGAGGUGACUAAUAUUUUGAAGCAUAAUCAAGGAUGAGAUGAAGUAAUAAUCAAUAAGUCCUUAAAACGGCCAAUGCUACUCUAGGUCAGCGGUCCUACAGUCAGCACGGCUUUGAUACCACUUAUGUCACACCCGGUUUUGUAAGGUAAACCGAAUGCAAACCGUGUACGUGCCAGGAUCAGAACUCACGUACAUAGCGAUUACAUAAAUGACUCAUCAUAGCACAAUGCCUCGAGUAACAAUAAAGGGUAAGUCAUAGUAUUAAAGACUAGAGUCAUUUACAUAAUAUAAUCAAAGUACACAGAAUAGAAACGUAGCCAACGUAAAUUAACCCACCACAGGCAGCUGACUGGGGGAGGUCGCUAGCCUAAUCCUCGAACUCGUCGAAGUCCUGGAAUUCCUGGGGAUCCGCCUCGACGCCUUCUUCUUUACCUGAGCAUAGAUUGCCCCAAAGGCAACCUGGUGUUUUGUGAAAGCAAGGGUGAGUACACAUCAACGUACUCAGCAAAUGUCCCGUUUGGCUGAGGUGGACUAGCUUUAUGUGGAGUUAAGCUCAAGCAGUUGCUUUUAGUUGGUCAGGUAUUUAUUAUUAGUGGAAGCCAAGUUUUAGUAAUAGCCAACCCGUGAACAGCUUCCUCCUCGAGGAACAUCAUGAUCAUCAUCGAAUCAAAAACAUUAAUAGAACCAUUGAGUCUCGAACCAGUUGUAUCUCUAAUCAAAGAGGAUCCCAAGGCUGCUCUUAACCGUGAGCACGGCUGAUAUAUCAGUUUCAUUACCCUCUGCAGAGGUCGCACACUUUACCCAUGAGCCGUGAUUCCCGUUUUGCCCGGGGAUCAUGACUCCCCAUUGAUCACUUCCUAGGUGGUCUGGCAGGGUAUCACUACGUAGCUUUUACAAAGAUUCCCUAGAGGUCAUAGCCACCCGUUAGGUUUCUCCAGUUUGAUAAACACAGUACCUCUCCCCGCAGGAGGGUGACUAACAAAAGCAAAACGAAAGAACCUCGGCACUCAGCCUCGGCAGAGCAAGCACUGUGCCUGGACCCCAUUGACGGCACGACGGCGAAGCAACUACACCUCUAGUUCCUCUAAUUAAUUAGCUAAGGGCAUCCCAUUUCACCCUCAUGGUUGCACUGUUAUCCCGGGUGGUCACUCCACGAACAGGUCCUUACGGAGAGGUACUCAGGGAAAAGGCCCGAGCCCCCUAGAGUAUCACAAUAUCAUCCUUGGGAUAACAUCAUCGUAUCAUAAUAUUCACAUCAUGUUCAUUGAUUAAAGUAAAGCAAUAGCAUAAAGCUAACCAUGAUAACCCAAAAGGGUAAACAAGGAUAAGUAAAUAGAAAGCUAGUCAAUCCUUAGGUUGAUCAUUGUAUGCGGGACAGUGAAUUAUAAGUAGAUAGGACAUAAUGGGUCAGAGGACACUUGCCUUCACCAAACAGAUGCUCAGAAUCUUCAGCCUUGUAGAACUCAAAGAGCUGGGUCAUUUGAUCGUCGAAGCUUGAUCGUCGAUUCCUCGAAGCUCGGAAAUGGAUCACAGUCUAUUUGUGUCACACAGUGAAAACCAACAGGCACAAACAAACAGACAUAUGUAUAUGCAUAAGAACAUUACACCAUUAAAAUAAAAACAUAAUAAAACAUGCAAAAUGAAAUAGAGUGUGCUACUAUAGUCACGCGAUGAAAAGAAACGCGAUAGUCGGAGCUACGGUCGAGAAGUUAGCGCGUUUACUCUAAAAAUAUUAGUUAGAACAUUUGAUUCGACGUUAUCAAAUAUAAAUUAUAUCUAAUAUUUAGUUUCACUUAACCUGUUACACUAGCAGCUAUUAGUUAACUAGUAAUUUAAUUAAAGCGAGAGAUUAUAGGCGAUGCGAAUUUACGACACAUGAAACAACACGACAGCGUGCAGAAGGACGCUUGGACACGCACGACCACACGCGAUUUAGCGCGCGGACGACGCCUGAAACAGUGCGUGCGACCAGCGUGAAUAUCGUGCGAAUCAGCACGCGCGACAGGCGAGAAAAUACUAAGUAGAGAACACGCUUAUACUAGGCAAAUGUUAAAUAAAUAGAAAGUAGUUAGUUAAUAUUAGCCAUGAUAACGUUUAUUAUAAAAGUCCAAGUUAAACAUUACACAUUUAAUCCAACCAGAAUAUUAAUCUAAUAAAUACUAGUCGAGUCACCCAUAAGUUAGUUAUCUAACAUAUAUGAUCUGAUGAACUAACGUUACUAACAUGAGCGUUUAUAAACGAAAUUAAUUUAUUAUCACGCGCAGACGUCGCGCGACACAGGUGAUCGACACGCGAGAUACACGUUAACAACGCGCGGCAAGGCAAGCGACACAUGCAAAUGGCACACGCGACGCAGACAAACGACGUGUGGCGGCACGCGACACUAUAUGGAAUAGCGUGCGGAUGGCACGAGAAACAACACGCACGACAGUGCGCGACACGCAUGAGUCAACACGACUACGCGCAUGAACAGCACGACGACGCGCAAACGAUGCCGCGCGCGAACAACAACAAACAACUAAUUAAUUAAGAGUAUUUAAGCUGGUAUUAAUCAAGUUAAUUAACAUUUAUAUUUAUAAAAGCACGAGUUAAAACUAUAGACUUGUUCUAAAUAAAUUGUUAUUUUAUUAACCCUCGAAUAAACCAAUAAUUAAUUAUUCGACUAAAACAUGCGACCUGACGACAACGAGCGCCACAUGUGGGAACAGCUCGUGCGUCACGCGUGAAGGAGCACACAGAAAGAGCGCACAACCACGUGUGACCAUGAGCAAAUGACAUGUGACAAUGCGCGCGAACAGCCUGCGACAACCGCGUGCAAAACAACACUACGACACGCACACGGUGCGCGCACAGCACGACGACGAGCACAUCACACGCGAACAGCGCGACGAUAGUGCGACAACACGGGAACUACUAAAUAGAUGUUGCGUCUAUACUAAACAAGUAUUAAAUUAAAACAUUUGUGUAGUCAUUAAUCACACUAACAUGUGUUUAUAAAUCGUAACUAAAACUAUGAAUUAGUUAUUUUAAUGACCAAGAGAUAAACAAUUACUUUAUUAAUUAAAUAAAACAUUUGUCACGACCAAACAAUGUUUCUAACAUGUAGACAACGUUAUUAUCAAACUAACGCAACUAGAACGAGUCGAAACAAAUUUAUAACAUGUGCACGAGAUCAUUACACGGUUAAUAUAACUGGAAUGGAUUAAUCGAAUAUCUAACACCAAAGUUAAUACAUAUUUUAAUAAAUAGCGCACUAACAACGAUGUGGCACGAUCCUAUCGGUCAGAAUCGUGCCACACCAAGGGUCACAUGAUCUCAUCCACAACCGGUCAAAGUGAAUGGGAUCAAAUGUGGCUACAUGGACUUAUUCCUCUCUGCUGUAACCGCACAUGCGAGCACAUGCGAUUCUUUUUCCUGUGCACGCACGAAGUGGGCAGCUUCUUCUCCAAUCUUCCAUUCUUCAACUACAAGGACGCUGGGGAAAGCUCGGACGACCUGGGCAGCUGCGCAAGAGCAGAAUCGCACCAGGGUCAAGGCCGGGGCCGUCCACCAGGGGCGCUCCUCGGUAGUCGCUGCAUGCUAGGGAGCCGCUGCCAGGGCCGUAGCCAUGGAGGCUUGCCAGGCGAGGGCCGAGGGGCAUGGGCUAGCAGGGGUAGGGGCCUGGGGCAGCGCGGCUCGCCGGCGACCCACCAGCCAACGGCGCUUGCGCACACAGGACGUGCAGGGGGGCACGACUGCAGGGACUCGGCCAUGGCCAUGCGCUGGGGCCACACAUCGGAGGGAAGGGGAGCCGCGCAGGGGCUCGCCGGGAGGAGACGAACUGCUUGGCAGGGGGCAGAGAGGGCUACUCGCCGGGGAAGAACCCGUGGGGAGGGAGGGAGCAGCCAGAGAGGAAGAGGGAUAAAGGGAGAAGAGGGAGCCUCACUCGGCCACUAACCUCGGCAACGACGAGAGCAUCGCAGAUCUUCCUGGGCGAUUCGGCGCGGCGAACGACUGAGCGGCCAGGACAUGGAGGGCAGCUCACCGGAGAGCCGAGGUCGACUGGGGGGCGGGGCUGGCCGCCGCCAUGGCCACGGCUAGGGGUUGUAGCCGGCCGGACGCCGUGCGCAGAGGCCCGGCCCUGCCUUGCCGUGUCCACGGGAGUGGUUGCUGAACGAGACGAGGGAGAAGAGAG